CGACGACUAAGCGCAAGGAACGAACCCUCAUCGACCUAUUCACUCUGACUCACACAGUUGCGAAACCACCGGAGGCAUUGUUGAGAGGGAGGUGCUGUCCCAUGGAUGGGCCAGUGGAUGAGACAGAUUAUGACAUUCAGACGAAUUCGGUGAGAUAACAGGGUAAUUACGUGCAGUUGUUCUUAUCUAGAGUUCUUUGUAUGACACCAAAAUGUUUUUGAUCAAGGGGGGAAGAAAAAUGGGAAAGAAGAAGAUUACUCUGAGCAGCAUGUUAAUUGAGUCACCAUUUGAGAAUUAACACCAUUUGAGAAUUAAGUCCCUUAAACUUACACCUAUGGAUGUUAUUAAUAGCCAGUUGGCAACUCACCAAUCAAGAUACUUCUGAAUCACAGUCACAGCUCCCGUGAGAACUAAGCUAGUUUUAUGAUUUAGUUAAUUUUAUUUUGAUUAACACUGUUAUAUGGGUGCAUAUGCAUUAAAGACGAUAAAAUGAGUUUUCCUUGUAUGUUUGAGUCUAAGAUUUCAAUUAUUCUAAGCUUGUAGCUUUUAUAACCAAAAAAAAAUAAAAUACACACAGAUUACAGCUGCUUCUAGACUGCGAAGCUUCGAGUACUAGACUGUCUCAUGGAUUUUUUUGGGAAUGCUGUCAUU